UUUAUUUUAAGCUAUUAAAAUAAAUUAAACAAUCAUAGUGUCCAUAUAAUAAAAAUUAAAAAUAAUUAUUUAUAUAUUAUAUUUUAAAUUUUAAAAAACUAGUAUAAAUUAUUAAAACUGUUAAAAGUUUAACAUUCAGAUUUUGUGAUCUAUGAUUUAUAACUUUUGUUAUGACAUGAUACAAAUAAUUGAAAAAUAAUAUAAG
rnacentral:lncRNA from 1 species